rnacentral:rRNA from 1 species
AACGAACGCUGGCGGCAUGCCUAACACAUGCAAGUCGAACGAGACCUUCGGGUCUAGUGGCGCACGGGUGCGUAACGCGUGGGAACCUGCCCUUAGGUUCGGAAUAACUCCCCGAAAGGGGUGCUAAUACCGGAUAAUGUCUUCGGACCAAAGAUUUAUCGCCUUUGGAUGGGCCCGCGUUGGAUUAGCUAGUUGGUAGGGUAAAAGCCUACCAAGGCGACGAUCCAUAGCUGGUAUGAGAGGAUAAUCAGCCACACUGGGACUGAGACACGGCCCAGACUCCUACGGGAGGCAGCAGUGGGGAAUAUUGGACAGUGGGCGAAAGCCUGAUCCAGCAAUGCCGCGUGAGUGAUGAAGGCCUUAGGGUUGUAAAGCUCUUUUACCCGGGAUGAUAAUGACAGUACCGGGAGAAUAAGCUCCGGCUAACUCCGUG